rnacentral:rRNA from 1 species
UGGGGAAUAUUGGACAAUGGGCGCAAGCCUGAUCCAGCCAUGCCGCGUGAACGAUGAAGGCCUUAGGGUUGUAAAGUUCUUUUGUCAGGGAAGAUAAUGACGGUACCUGAAGAAUAAGCACCGGCUAACUUCGUGCCAGCAGCCGCGGUAAUACGAAGGGUGCUAGCGUUGUUCGGAAUCACUGGGCGUAAAGCGCGCGUAGGCGGCGAUAUAAGUCAGAGGUGAAAGCCUGGAGCUCAACUCCAGAACUGCCUUUGAAACUAUAUUGCUAGAGUGUCGGAGGGGAUAGCGGAAUUGCUAAUGUAGAGGUGAAAUUCGUAGAUAUUAGCAGGAACACCGGUGGCGAAGGCGGCUAUCUGGACGACAACUGACGCUGAGGCGCGAAAGCCAGGGGAGCAAACGGGAUUAGAUACCCUUGUAGUCCCUGAGCGGGCUGGCAAGGCGCAU